GUAAUUAGGUAGGGGGCAAAGCCUUAUUCGGAUUUACUGGGCGUAAAGCGAGCGUAGGUGGUUCGUUAAGUGAGAUGUGAAAGUCCCCGGGCUCAACCUGGGAGCUGCAUCUAAAACUGGCGAUCUAGAGUACAGCAGAGGAGAGUGGAAUUUCUAGUGUAGCGGUGAAAUGCGUAGAUAUAGGAAGGAACACCAGUGGCGAAGGCGACCAUCUGGACUAAUACUGACGCUGAGGUUCGAAAGCGUGGGGAGCAAACAGGAUUAGAUACCCUGGUAGUCCACGCCGUAAACGAUGUAGACUAGCCGUAGGGAUCGUCGAGAUCUUAGUGGCGCAGCUAACGCAUUAAGUCGUCCGCCUGGGGAGUACGGUCGCAAGGUUAAAACUCAAAUGAAUUGACGGGGGCCCGCACAAGCAGUGGAGCAUGUGGUUUAAUUCGAAAGCAACGCGAAGAACCUUACCAUAGCCUUGGACAUGCAGAGAACUUUCCAGAGAUGGAGGAAGUCCUUUGGGAGAUAGGACGCCGGUUGUGCCUGGGUGUUGUCAGCUUGUGUUGUGAGAAGUUGGGUUAAGUUCCGUCACGAGCGCAACCCUUGUCUUUAGUUAGCAGCCCGUUAAGGUGGCCAUUUUACGGAGAUUGCCGGUGUCAACCCGGAGGAAGUUGGGGAGGACGCCAAGUCUUCAUGGCCUUUACUGUAUGGGUUCCCCACGUGUUCCAAUGCUCGUUCCAAAGGAUGCACUAGCCCAGAGGUGGAGUUAAUCUCAUAAAUCCGAUCAUAUUGGAGAUUGCAGUGAACAUCUCGUACAUGAAGAAGUGAGAAUCUAGUAGUAAUCAAUAAUCAAAAUGUCGGCGAAGAAUAUGUUCGGCGGGUCGUACUACACACCGCGUCGUCACCAUCAUGGGAGUCGGAUUAGCUCCAGGAUAUGCUGAUGGAUAGUAAUAACGUUUAGGGGG
rnacentral:rRNA from 1 species